GAUCAUGGCUCAGGAUGAACGCUAGCGGCAGGCCUAACACAUGCAAGUCGAGGGGCAGCACGAUAAAGCUUGCUUUAUUGGUGGCGACCGGCGCACGGGUGCGUAACGCGUAUGCAACCUACCCUGUACUGGGGGAUAACCCGGAGAAAUUCGGACUAACACCCCAUAGUAAUAUACUUUCGCAUGUUAGUAUAUUUAAAGGUUACGGUACAGGAUGGGCAUGCGUCCUAUUAGCUAGAUGGUGAGGUAACGGCUCACCAUGGCGAUGAUAGGUAGGGGGCCUGAGAGGGUGGUCCCCCACACUGGUACUGAGACACGGACCAGACUCCUACGGGAGGCAGCAGUGAGGAAUAUUGGUCAAUGGGCGCAAGCCUGAACCAGCCAUGCCGCGUGCAGGAAGAAUGCCCUAUGGGUUGUAAACUGCUUUAUUUGGGAAUAAACCUCUUUACGUGUAGAGAGCUGAAGGUACCAAAUGAAUAAGCACCGGCUAACUCCGUG
rnacentral:rRNA from 1 species